UACAGUACCUGCAGCUUGCUGCUAGGGGGCGCUCAACACACUGCUUUAGCUUGAUUCUGCGUGUGCCUGGCUGUGGAAGUGGAGACUGCAUUUGAGCAACUCUAUUCAGAAACAAAACCAAAACAAACACACACAAAAAUACCCAUAACAAACAUGAAAGUAAUUAUUCAGAGGGUUGCAAAAGCCAGCGUGACAGUGGGAGAGGAACAGAUAAGUUCAAUUGGAAAAGGGAUUUGUGUGUUAUUAGGGAUUUCUGUGGAGGACACACAAAAGGAUAUUGAAUACUUAGUGCGAAAGAUUUUGAACCUGCGUUUGUUUGACGAUGAGAAUGGAAAGCACUGGUGUAAAAGUGUGAUGGAUAAACAGUACGAAGUGCUUUGUGUCAGCCAGUUCACCCUGCAGUGCAUCCUGAAGGGGAACAAACCUGACUAUCAUGCCGCCAUGCCAACAGAACAGUCUGAGCCAUUCUACAACGACUUCCUUGAGCACAUGAGAAAGACUUACAAGCCAGAAGUGAUUAAAGAUGGGAAGUUUGGCGCCUAUAUGCAAGUACAUAUUCAGAAUGAUGGGCCUGUUACUAUAGAGUUAGAAUCGCCAACUGGACCCGCUGAUCUAAAGCAGGCAAAGCUGGAAAAGCAGCAGCAGCGGAAAGAAAAGACCAGAAACAAGGGACCCUCCGAGUCAGGCAAGGAGAAAGCUGCUGCGCGGGCUAAAGUUGACCCCAGCGCCAGCAGCGGAGCCGAGGGGGACGUGUCGUCUGAAAGAGAGCCUUAAAUUGGAGUGCGGGGUAAAGUGGGCGUUCCCAGGAAAGUGAAAGGCUCCACAUGGAAACUCAAAAAGGUUUUCUCUUAGCGCAUGGUGAACUAUUUCCAUAAGACUUAAACUUCAUUGGCUUGGGCAUCUUUUACUGAAACGAGGACUCUGGGGAAAUAACUUUUAUAUUUAUUUAGAUGUUAAACCAAAGUAAAUCAAAACCUUGAUUUAAAUUUGGACAGAAAUGUAAAGAAGUUUGACUAAAUGUAAAACAACACUUUUGAAACAAGUUUUCUGUCAUGGCUAAGGGGCCAGGCAUGAGUUAUUUAUUUUGCCGUUUUUUUUUUUUUUUUUUUUUGUAAUAUCACGCUGAAAAUAAGCAAUUGUGUUGUAGAACAUGUGUUAUGUUGUUUGUAGCAGCAGCUUCUAUUUUCUGGCAUAAAACAGUUAACAGCCAUCCAGUUCAGUGUGGUCUGCCUGCCCAAGAAAAACAUUUCAAUAUAUCAUAUAGCAGAGAGUACAUGAGCUUUGUUUUGUGGGGUUUGUACGUCUGCAUACCUGACCAUUCUCAAAUACUGUAGCAAAGUUACCAGAGCAUACGUGAAGGCGUGAUAUAUGUGGCAUCAUAAGAAGCUGAUACUGUGAAAAAGGGACAAACAUUUAGCAUAAUUAAAACAUGCCUGAAAGUUACAUGGGCAAUGGCUGUGUGUACAUGCUAGUAAAAUGCAAUGUCUGUGCUUCUUGCUUUUAAAAACUACUCUUAAGUGGCAAAUGUGCUGCAUGGAAAGGGAGGCUUAGCAAAAUAUAUUGUACUUAGGGAAACAACAAAUGUACCCUUACACUGGAUAUGUCUUAUAAAAAGGAUUUUGUCUUUAAACUUGUGGGCCACUGACACUUCUUUGGACUACAUUGUAUUCUUUAUAUUUAUCAACAGGAAGGUAUAAAAAAGCUAUUUGAAAAUGGAUCGGAGAUUUCCUUUAAACUGAUUUGUCAAUACGAGGGCAUUGAUCUGUGGUAGAAUGUUAUCUUUCAAAUUAUGUUUAAUCACUGUUCUAAAUAAAUCCUCCAGAAAAAUCUGCCAAUACAGUACAGUAUUUCUGUAUUUUUUUUUCCUUUUUCUGCUUGAUCUCUGUUCUUGUAC